GUCUCCGUAGCUCAGUUGGUAGAGCAAUUGACUCUUAAUCAAUGGGUCUAGGGUUCGAAUCCCUACGGGGACA
rnacentral:tRNA from 2 species